rnacentral:rRNA from 1 species
GAUGAACGCUGGCGGCGUGCCUAAUACAUGCAAGUCGAGCGAACGGACGAGAAGCUUGCUUCUCUGAUGUUAGCGGCGGACGGGUGAGUAACACGUGGAUAACCUACCUAUAAGACUGGGAUAACUUCGGGAAACCGGAGCUAAUACCGGAUAAUAUUUUGAACCGCAUGGUUCAAAAGUGAAAGACGGUCUUGCUGCCACUUAUAGAUGGAUCCGCGCUGCAUUAGCUAGUUGGUAAGGUAACGGCUUACCAAGGCAACGAUGCAUAGGCGACCUGAGAGGGUGAUCGGCCACACUGGAACUGAGACACGGUCCAGACUCCUACGGGAGGCAGCAGUAGGGAAUCUUCCGCAAUGGGCGAAAGCCUGACGGAGCAACGCCGCGUGAGUGAUGAAGGUCUUCGGAUCGUAAAACUCUGUUAUUAGGGAAGAACAUAUGUGUAAGUAACUGUGCACAUCUUGACGGUACCUAAUCAGAAAGCCACGGCUAACUACGUG